CCUACGGGGGGCAGCAGUGAGGAAUAUUGGUCAAUGGGCUUACGCCUGAACCAGCCAAGUCGCGUGAGGGAAGACUGCCCUAUGGGUUGUAAACCUCUUUUGUCAGGGAGCAACGCCGGCUACGUGUAGCCGGACUGAGAGUACCUGAAGAAAAAGCAUCGGCUAACUCCGUGCCAGCAGCCGCGGUAAUACGGAGGAUGCGAGCGUUAUCCGGAUUGAUUGGGUUUAAAGGGUGCGUAGGCGGAAUGCCAAGUCAGCGGUAAAAUCGCGUGGCGAAACCUCGCUCCGCCGUUGAAACUGGCGUUCUUGAGUGGGCGAGAAGUAUGCGGAAUGCGUGGUGUAGCGGUGAAAUGCAUAGAUAUCACGCAGAACUCCGAUUGCGAAGGCAGCAUACCGGCGCCCAACUGACGCUGAAGCACGAAAGCGUGGGUAUCGAACAGGAUUAGAUACCCCAGUAGUC
rnacentral:rRNA from 1 species